rnacentral:misc_RNA from 1 species
GAUGAAGAACGUAGCGAAAUGCGAUAAGUAGUGUGAAUUGCAGAAUUCAGUGAGUCAUCGAAUCUUUGAACGCACAUUGCGCCCCUUGGUAUUCCAUGGGGCAUGCCUGUUCGAGCGUCAUUUGUACCUUCAAGCUUUGCUUGGUGUUGGGUGUUUGUCCCGAGGGACUCGCCUUAAAGUAAUUGGCAGCCAGUGUUUGGUUUUGAAGCGCAGCACAAGUCGCGAUUCAAGGCUACACGCCCGCUUCCACAAGCCUUUUUUCACUUUUGACCUCGGAUCAGGUAGGGAUACCCGCUGAACUUAAGCAUAUCAAUAAGCGGAGGA